UUCUCUAGGAAUUGAAAUCAUAAAUUUUGCAAUUUCUCUUUCACAUUGUUUUAUUUUCACACCCUUCUCUUUGGAUGAAUUUCAAGAAAAUUGUUGUAUUAUUCUUAUUUAAUUUUCUUGUCUUCUUACCCUGCUUCCUUGUGGCAUGCUAAGGAAAUUAGUCAGAGAGAUUACCUCUGCUUAAUGAAUCUAUGUAGAAAUUUCUUAUGGGUUAUAUACGGCUGCUAUAAAGUGCAACUUAAUGGAGGAUAUAAGGCACAGUUAACUUUGGGGAGACAACAAUAGUACAAUUAAUGUAUUUCUUCAAUUUAUGUGCAUGGCUAGACCACUGUGUAUCACAAUUUUUUAAGAGAGUGAUUUGGGUGCUUUCAUCAGGAUUGAAGGACUAAUGUUAUAGUAGGAUGAUUCAUUAAAGCACUCAAGUGAAUUCUCUCGCUAUGGAUCCUCCAUUAGAGGAUGAUGCAUCACUUAUUGAAGUAAUCUAUGUAUACAUGUGAUUUGUUUUGUUGGAUAAGAAUCUAAAAUUUAUUUGAGAAAA